rnacentral:rRNA from 1 species
AAUAGAUACCCAGGUAGUCCACGCUGUAAACGUUGGGCGCUAGGUGUGGGGGGCCUCUCCGGUUCCCUGUGCCGCAGCUAACGCAUUAAGCGCCCCGCCUGGGGAGUACGGCCGCAAGGCUAAAACUCAAAAGAAUUGACGGGGGCCCGCACAAGCGGCGGAGCAUGCGGAUUAAUUCGAUGCAACGCGAAGAACCUUACCUGGGUUUGACAUGCACCAGACAUCCCUAGAGAUAGGGCUUCCCUUGUGGUUGGUGUGCAGGUGGUGCAUGGCUGUCGUCAGCUCGUGUCGUGAGAUGUUGGGUUAAGUCCCGCAACGAGCGCAACCCUCGUUCCAUGUUGCCAGCGCGUAAUGGCGGGGACUCAUGGGAGACUGCCGGGGUCAACUCGGAGGAAGGUGGGGAUGACGUCAAGUCAUCAUGCCCCUUAUGUCCAGGGCUUCACACAUGCUACAAUGGCCGGUACAGAGGGUUGCGAGACCGUGAGGUGGAGCGAAUCCCUUAAAGCCGGUCUCAGUUCGGAUCGGGGU